rnacentral:tRNA from 1 species
GCCGGUGUAGCUCAGUGGUUAGAGCGAACGACUCAUAAUCGUUAGGUCACUGGUUCGAUUCCAGUCACCGGCACCA